rnacentral:rRNA from 1 species
CGGGGUGCAGCAGGCGCGAAAACUUUACAAUGCUGGCAACAGCGAUAAGGGGACCUUGAGUGCCAGGAUACAAUCCUGGCUGUCGUGAUGCCUAAAAAGCAUUAUAUAGCAAGGGCCGGGCAAGACCGGUGCCAGCCGCCGCGGUAACACCGGCGGCUCGAGUGGUAACCGCUAUUAUUGGGUCUAAAGGGUCUGUAGCCGGCUUGGUUAGUCUCUUGGGAAAUCCGGCAGCUUAACUGUCGGGCUUUCAGGAGAUACUGCCAGGCUCGAGACCGGGAGAGGUGAGAGGUACUUCAUGGGUAGGGGUGAAAUCUUGUAAUCCUUGAAGGACCACCAGUGGCGAAGGCGUCUCACCAGAACGGAUCUGACGGCAAGGGACGAAAGCUAGGGGCACGAACCGGAUUAGAUACCCGGGUAGUCCUAGCCGUAAACGAUACUCGCUAGGUGUCGGCCACGGUGCGACCGUGGUCGGUGCCGUAGGGAAGCCGUGAAGCGAGCCACCUGGGAAGUACGGCCGCAAGGCUGAAACUUAAAGGAAUUGGCGGGGGAGCAC